CCUCGGGCUGGAGAGGGGCAGGAGAAAGGCCAAGGGAGCUCCCUGGGGCCACCAGGGCCUGUGGGGAACAGAAUGGACGCUUGGAUGACCAGUGGAGGAAAGGGAAGGACAUCCCUGCCUUCAGCGCAUCUCCAGUGGGACCCACCUGCAAAAGCUUUCCAUCCCUUCUGCACUUCCAGCUGGCUCCCUGAAAAACUCCCACCUUCAUCCAAACAGAACUUCAUCCCACCCAAACCUUUGAUUUUAAGGCAUCUCUGCGGGCUGUUGGUUGGGAUUUAAUGUCUGUGAGAGAAGAGUGCCUUGGCUUUAAGGCUGCUGCUGGAUGAUGGCCUUAGGCUGGAAGGGAAGGGAUUCGGGGAGGCCGGGACAUACCUGGCAGCUGCGUGGGAGCUCUGGGAGGUCGGAACCGGGAAUUGCUGUUUGAGCUCCUCUGCAGGUGGCCCGUGCUGCCAUCACCACGAAAUGCCAGCUGUUCUUGGGGGGCUUUUGGGCUGUCAGUGGCCUCUGUCCGGGCUGAAGCAUCUCUGGGUGCCUGUUCAGAGCAGCCCCUGGCCCAGGAGCUGCGGGCAGCCCUUGAGCCGUGUCCGUGCCCAUCCCCGGGAUGUGUGCUCGGCACAGGCGGGACACUGCAGGCACAGCCCCUCCCCUGCAGAGCCCAAGGACAAGAGGUGCUGGUUGCCUUUUGGGGGCUCCUGGCCUCCCCCUGCCCCACGUUCCCAGCCAGCUGAGACACACAGAAACACCAAGGAACGCUGCUGGCAGCGAGCGGGAGACACUGAGGCCUCUGUGCAGCUCUGGGCCACAAAAGCAGCCCCAGCUUCAGCAGCUGCCAUCAUUUUGGCCUGGCAAUACUCACCUGCAGGAAAUGUCCUAUUUACCUGAGAGUCAGGUUUUAGGAUCCCUCUCAACCCCAAUAUAUCCUCAAUAUAUCCUGUGAUCUGGAAGUAAAGAGAAAAAUUCUCAGCUGAAUUUUU